rnacentral:tRNA from 1 species
CAAAAUAGCUCAGUUGGUAGAGCAACGGACUCGUAACCCGGAGGUCAGCAGUUCGAUUCUGCUUUUUGG